rnacentral:lncRNA from 1 species
UCUUCAAUACGAGCAAUAGUAUUCACAGCCGAUUUUUUGAGAGAACUCUGGCGUUUCUUGUCGUCUGCUGUGGCCAUUCCGUGCACUUCUUUCUGAGAGCUGUGCCCUUCCCUCCUAUCUGGACCUGAGCCUGAAGCUUGGCUAAUUUUUCUUAUUUAAAGCUUGGUAGUUCUGAAGCCCAGGGGUUGGGGUGGGGGUGGGGUCUCCAACAGCCACACGUGGCGGAAGCAAAAUGGCGGUCGUAGCAGAAGCAGAGAAGGACUACUACAGGAGAUUUUUGAGCAGAGGAGUGGCAUAGCCAGACUUGUGCCUUAGCAGUAGUAAUUUGGUUGCUGUACAGGGAAUCCACUGGAGAAAGGAUGAAAGGUUAAGAAAUCUAUUGUUACAGAAUCUUGGACUUGGCCUUUGGAACCAUCAAAAACUCUCCUAUGGAAGCAUCAAGGAAGAGGCCUUCAUAUAACUUCAAAAACAAAUUUAGUUACCCAGGAUAAGAAUCAAAUCAGUAAAUCAAGGAUGGAAGCAGGAACUUUGCAGCAAAUAUCUGUAAUAUUCGAUACAAAGAGAAGGGAUUGGCACGUCUUCACAUGGAUGCAGGAGUCAGGAAUGGAGAAUUCUGUUCUGCAUCUGAUUCUUUUUUUUCAAUGCUAAAAUAAUCAAUACGCUUAUUUUUAUAUGUCACAAUACAAAUAUAAGCUGCAUUUCUGCCCCACUCUUCCUUUUUAAAUUGUUUCUUUGACAGGAAGUGGGAAGUCUUCUUACAUGUUUGGAAACCACCUCUGGGGCAGUUAGCAAAAAACAAAACACAAAAACUGGCAAGCUAUCAACAAUCAUGACAGAAUGCUCCAACUCUCUAAAAAGAGAAAUGCAAAUUAAAACCCUGAAGCUUUACACAAUUUUGAGAAAGAUGACAUGAGGAAAAUGGUCAGUGUUGGAGGGACUGUGGAAAGAUAGGCACACCAAUGAACUUUUGGUGGAGCUAUGAAUAUGACAAUUCUGAAAAAUGAUUUGGAAUUACUCUAAAAAGUCACUAAAACACACAUCUUUGACUCAGUGAUAUCACUAUUGGCAUAUAAUCCAAGAAGGGCGAAGAUAGUGGGAAAGGUCCCAUAUAUACAAAAAUGUCAAUAGUAGCACUUUUUAUAGUAGCAAAGAACUGCAAACCAACAAUACCCACCAAUUGAGAAACCGACCAACUGGAAGAGGG